GAAAAGGUACUCAAGUGGUUAAGAGGGGAGUUUGCUAAACUUCUAGACCGUAAGGUGCAUAGGUUCAAAUCCUAUCCUUUCCG
rnacentral:tRNA from 1 species